GUUUGGGAUUUUCCCUCUCAACAAAAAGAGAAAUGUUUAGCGCCAAAAUUGUAACCCGCAUCUGUCCACUGUACAUAUUUACAUUUUUUUUCAUUACAGAUGCAUUAUUUUAAAGUCUGAUUUUUUUUACCGCACUCCUGGCCGCUUUGGAGGAGUUCGAUUACCACUGAUCAACCACUUUCUGUGCUUUUUAUUUUUAUCCCCGAAAAAGCGACGGAAAUGAUAUAACGUUAAAGGUUUCACCGUUUGUCAUUAUGCAGGAUUUUCAACAUAGAUUGAUACACUUAUAAAUAUCCAUCUUGCUGUCGCUAAUUUAAUAUGGGUUAUAUAAUUCUUGACCCAGUAAAUAUUGUAACUGGACGUCUGUCAAAAUAUGACGUCAUUCAAUAUAUGACGUCAUGUAAUAGUUACGUCACAUUGAAGACUUAUAAAUUUA
rnacentral:lncRNA from 1 species